rnacentral:ncRNA from 1 species
AUCGAAUUGAGUAUGAUUGUAUGUGYGAUAGCAUCUACUAUACCAKGAAUAUCAAUGAACCCAAUUAUUGCAAUUGCUCAGGAUACCCUUUUUUAGCUUCUAGGGUCUAUUUCUUAGUUCAAGAUUACUAACUGGAAUCAAAGAAUUAGUAGAUAUGUUCCGCCCAAACUCAUGGUAUUUGGGGAAUAAGCAUCGGCUAACUUUGUGCAAGCAGCCGCGGUAAUACAGAGGAUGCAAGCGUUAUCCGAAAUGAUUGGGCGUAAAGUGUCUGUAGGUGGCUUUUCAAGUCUGCCGUCAAAUCCCAAGGCACAACCCUGGACAGGUGGUGAAAACUACUAAGCUAUAAUACGGUAGAGGCAGAGGGAAUUUCCGGUGGAGCGGUGAAAUGCGUAGAGAUCGAAAAGAACACCAAUGGCGAAAGCACUCUGCUGGGCCGACACUGACACUGAGAGACGAAAGCUAGGGGAGUGAAUCGGAUUAGAUACCACAGUAGUCCUAGUCGUAAACGAUGGAUACGCAUAGACGAGGUACCUUGAAAUAAAUAAUUGUUUCGACGGAACCUUCUACCGUAGAUUAUCCGUUGAUACACGGCCCAAGCCAUUAAUUCCUUU